rnacentral:lncRNA from 1 species
GUCGCUAUUAAUUUUUCCAUAUAUCUUGUUCAUCCGUUUUAUCCGGUACGCUUCCGUUAGGUGUCCGUUUUAUGCGGUACUCGUCCAUAGGAUGUACGUUCGACAUCCGUUUUGUCCGGUACGUUUCCGUUUCUCGUACGUUGCAUAUCCGUUGUGUGUCCGUUAUGCAUUCGUUACGCGUCCGUUUUGUUUGGUCAGUACAUCAACGGACUCCCAACGGAUAACAAUUUUGUCAACAAACAACUUUUAU